UGUCUUCAAGCUGCAUCUUCUGCUCCCUCCAUCUUCAUCCAACUGCCUGCUCCUUCUUCUCCUCUGUGCUUGCCAUCCACCUGUUCCCUUCCUGUUCUUUAUCCUUUGUACCUGCCAUGGAUUUCCUAUCCCACCCAAAAGCAAAGUGGGGUCCUGGUAUUACUUUCCACUACAGAUGUCAAAAGCCUGAGUGUGACUUCCAGAGAAAUGUAUUUAUUUGAAGUGCAGGAGCUCUUUGGGGCCCUGGCAGAGAUGAGGCCUCGCUCACUGCAAACACAUGGGGGAGAAUCUCUGCUCCAUAAAAAAGGGACAGCAACGUGGAGGAAAGAAAGUAGGACGAUCGCUACUGAAUAUGGGGAAAUGCAUCAUGAGGCUAAGCAGCUUGCCAAAGGUGAGACCGGGAGUCUGUACCGGAGCAAGUUGAGCCCAGACUUUGAGUCCUGUGUCUUACCUAUACAAGCAUCUUUCCACCACUCAAGUUUUGUUGCAAAACCUCAGUUAAAAGCAAAAGAAAGACCAGGAGUCGAGGGAUAUCUCGGGAGCUGCGUUGCUGAAACGUGCUAAUUGCAGAAUACGUUUAUACGAGAUGAAAAAGAAGGACCUAAAAUGGUAUGAUUUUGAUCUAGAUGAAGGAUUGGACUUUUAUCAGCUAUGGGGAAAUACAGAGUGCAUUUAAAAAAACCAACGUAAUGGGUACAAGACAAUAGAGGAUGCAAAUGUGAAGGACAUUCAAGGAAACAAUGAGAUGUUGGCAGUAGUCGUUGCAUGUGUACAGUCUAGCUAAGUUUUUUCUGUCGGCAUCUUAGCAAAGGACAGGUCUUCAGGAGAGAUCUGAAGGAAGGCAGUAAGGGAGCUUCACAAUCAGCAGCAAGAUGAGCAAGGGAGCUAAAAGGCCAACACAGUCCACAUUUAUCUGCUAUGGCUGAGGGAAGACUAGGAUGCUCCUAGUGCUGAUGCAAAAUGCAUCCUCUGAGAGGGAUUUCAGUCUAAUCCUUGAGAGUGCUAUGAGAUGCAUAGCUUUAAAUAAAAUAAAAUAAAAUAAAAACCAGCCCCAAAACAAAUUAAAAACCUUGCGUCUCUCUCUAGAGAUAGUUAUAUUGUGGAUAAGGUCUCAAUCAAACUUGAAGGACAAAGUGACCCUCAUCUGCCUGUAUCUUGGGAAGUGACAAGUAGAACGUGAGAUUUUAGGCCCA